UGGAAUCAUGACCUUCAAGAACGGACAGUCAAUGAAGUAAUAGAAUGAGGGGUUCGAGUGUAGGCUGAGGUGAGUUGAUGCCCUGGAAAGCUUGUCUGUUUACGGUUCCAUUAAAACCAUGGUGAACUAUUUCCCAGGGAAGAGAAAUCAUCAUAAACCAUACACUGAGAUUCUACUCAUUCAUAACAUGGUAUAGUAAAUGCCCUGCGAAGAAUAACAAACUCUGGAUAGGAUAAGUCAUGUAUAUUACUCUCUUUAUUAGGUGACACAGAUGUACAUUAAACGUUGUGUACAAUAUGACAAUGAGCAAAAUCUAUAAAGGCGCUGUUGUACCAUUGCAGCAACUUUUGUUGACAAUUUGUAAAUGUUAAUUGAAUGUCAAAUAAAGAUUUUGUAUGUGAGUCUUUUUGGAUUCUCUCUCUGGGUCUGCAAACUACAGGUAUAUUUUCCAAGUGUGUGUUUGUGUGUAUUAGAUACUUCAUGAGUUACUGUAGAUGAACUACAAAACCGGAGUCUGACUUUUUUCAUUAAAAAAAACUUUAAAAAUGGACAAACAUGUUUCACACACACACACACACACACACACACACACACACACACACACACACACACACACACACACACACACACACACACACACACACACAGGGUUAUGUACCAAUAUAUCUGCAGUCCAGCGAGAAACAAGAGGCAUCAGUUAUGAUGACAGUUAAAUGACAUAUUGCAAAUGCAAGUUCAGCAUACAGUUCAUGAACAAAAGAAGGGCAAAACAAGAAAAAAUGGUCCUUGUGAGUAUUUCUGGAUUCUGUGGCUUCAGUGUUUGUGUUUUGGACAUUGCAAGCCCUUGCCCGUCCUCACAAAGUUAAGUUUUUUCCCUCGAAGUAGUAAAAGUCUACAUUUCAAACCACAUUUAGUGGUUUUGUGUGGGAGGUAUGUCCAUGGAGUAAAAAUACACUUUAACCAGCGCUGUAGUUACAUAUCACUCCUUUCCUAGAAACUCAAGCCUGUCUUGCACUCCCUCUUUUCUGUAACAUACAUUCACAAAAAUGUCCUAUGAGGAGAUUAACACAUGGGGGUCACUUCAGAACUUCCAAUAAUUUGAUAUCCUUCGAGCUGAGCAUAUGAGGUACAUGAAUGCAAACUAUUUUAAUUGCUGCUUAGUUUACUUGGUAUGCCAAUCAAUUGUUAAGUUUCUAAGCUUUGCUCUUGCAUGGGGGAAUGUACCCCCUUCCGAGUGACCUGUCUUUAACAUACCAUAAGGCAGCAGUGGAAAUCAAUGGGUGCAUAAAUACUUAUCAAGUAGGAUAUCAUCAAUAUUUAUGAGUUUGAUGGUUACCGUCCUCACAGGAAAUAUAGAUACAUUCUAAUAGAUGAGUGUAACGUGUACGCAGGGAGUUGGGAAGCACGUACAGGGAGUGAACUUAAUAAAUAAACCAACAUGGAACAAUGCAAGCAACACAAGUAGCAUAUAUACAUUAAUCAGCUAGCCAGAAACAGAGUCAAUAUCACCUGAGGAAGGAACCAAGGGGAGUGACAGAUAUAGGGGAGGUAAUCAGGAAGGUGAUGGAGUCCAGGUGAGUCUCAUGAGGCGUAGGCACACGUAAAGAUGGUGGCAGGUGUACAUAAUAAUGAGUAAACUGGUGACAUUGAGCGCCGGAGAGUGGGGAGCGGGUGUAAACGUGACAAUUAGUGAGUGAAGUUAAUUCAACCUUAUUCUGCCAGGAAAGUCCUUCACACUAUGUCCUUGUUCAUGCUCUUAAAAGCUGAACGGUGAGAUACAUCACACUCAUAAUAACCCCCUGGAUAACAACAACGCUGAAAUCGGUAAACAAAAUAACAUGUUGUGAGGCUCUUUAGUUCUCAGGUGAUUCACAGCCAGUUUAUAAUGAUUCAAGUUCACUUUAUCAGUACCCGCCUCAAACUGAUCAGUAAUCAAUAUAGUGUCAUACAAAGUAAAUGUAAAUAUACUGGGUAUAUAAAUCCAUCUUUGGAGAGUGAGAGCAUGUAAGGAUUCUCACUGGUAGCUGAGGAUGUGACAUCAGAAGGUGGCAAAGGUAGUAAAAAGUCUGUCUCUGCCAAAUGUGCCAAUGCCAAAGACAUUCAGCUGUCUGCAUUCCCCUUUGCACAGGUCUGUUUUUUUUGUCUGUUUUGGCCCAGAGAACAAUAGAGGUACAUGUAUACUGUAAAGUACAAUAUGUCUUGAUUCAGAGACAAUGUAAAACACUUAGUAGGACUACAGUUAAAUAGAGCACAAUUUAAGAGACAGCGCUUUGAUGCAUAUAAGUGUGUGAGUUGUUGGGUGAAUGUAUUUGUGGGUAUGAGUGCAUGUGCACGUGUAUGUCUGUUUGACGAAUGUGUGUGUAUACAUGUCCGCGUGUGUGUAUCUGUAAAACGUAUGUGUGCUCAUUUGUCAACCAGGCCAUGUGACGUGUCGGACUCGUUUGUCAGCGCUCAGAACCAGGUGUGCCGGUUUCAGCCCGGAUCCUGUUUCAUUCCACAGUAAUGUAGGUAUCCUCUCCUGCCACGCCUCACACCCUUUCAGAAAAACUCCAGAGGCCUUCGUUAUGUCUGUCCACCUGGAAGCUCAAUGGAGGUUUUGCAGAGAGUUAGAAAGUGUCUUUCAGCAGCCCCAGUUUCCGGAGAGCUUCUCUGCGCGACUCAUCCGUCACUCCCCGUCCGGAGAACUGCACAGUGAUCCCCUGGGAGCGGAAGGAUGGCUUGGAGAUGGACUUCGGCCGGGACUCCGGAGAAGGAGGAGAUGCCCCCGCCCUGUUGGCGCUAGGGGGAGUGCUAUAGCGGAAAGGUCUGGAGGCUGGAGAAGGCACUGGGGCUGAAGCUUUGCUGGGGGACCUCACUAGGGUGUGUGUGAGGAUGUCAGGGGUGGUAACGGGGGAGGGGGUGGUGUGAGAUGGGGUGACCAUUCUGGUCUUCCCCCCGUAGCUCUUGACCUCGUAGGACAUGGUUUCUCCUUUGGUUGGGAUGGAGGUGGAGGUUGGUGGAGGCAUCCUUUUGGCUGGGGUGGAGGUUGAGGCUGGGGAAGGCAUCACUCUGGCUGGGGUUGAGGCUGGGGAAGGCAUCACUCUGGCUGGGGUUGAGGCUGGGGAAGGCAUCACUCUGGCUGGGGUUGAGGCUGGGGAAGGCAUCACUCUGGCUGGGGUUGAGGCUGGGGGAGACAUCACUCUGGCUGGGGUGGAGGUGGAGACUGGGGGAGGCAUCACUCUGGCUGGGGUGGAGGCUGGGGGAGGCACGGCCCUGCUCUCGAUGUCUGGUUGGGUUAGGUCAGCCCUGGUUGUGGUAACAGGAGCAGGUUUCAUUACCUUAGUCUUACCCCCGUAAGGGUUGAAGUCACUGUGAGAGGUCACUGGCUGGGCCUUACUGCCAUGGCCACCGGUGGAGGGAGCUACAGCAGCAGCCUUAGAGGGGUUCACCACGAUGGUCUUCCCGCCAUAGCUGUUAAAGUCCUUGGACGAGACUUCGGGCGACGGAGAAGCAGGCUUGUUGUCAUGGAUACUUGCAUGAGAGGUGUUGGUGUUGACUGUUGCUGGUGGCAAGGUCUUUGCCUGUCUGGCCACAUCUGGUUUACUCACAGGUGUCAGUGUAGGCAUAGGAACGGGUGUAGGGGUGGCAACCGGAAUCGGGGCAGCAGCGGGUUUGGUGUUUGUGCUGCUGUUGUGGGUGAGGUUUCGGGUCAAGCCCAGUUUGGACAGUGCCUCCAUCCGGGACUUAUUUGGAGUGGGAUCCCUGAAAGACACACUGUGGGUGGGAAGGUUUACCUGGGCCUCCUGCAGCCCAUGGAGCUCUUCCGCCUCCACAGGGUGGGAUGUCCCUGAUAGGUUAGCCAGCAUCUGAGACUUCCUGUCCUGGAGGUUCACACUGGCCAGCGAAUGGCUGUGGUGCUGGUUGCUGCCCAUUAUCAUGUUGAUGUUGUUGGGGUAAUGGGUGGGUUUGGCUGAGGUGGUCGGGUCCUGUUUGAUUAGAUAAUCCGGGGAGGUGGGUGGUCUCUCUACGUUCUCUAAAUCGAGGUUCCUACGGCAGUUGGACAGGAGGGAGGAAGAGAGGAUGUUGGUGUUCCCCACACUCCCCUGGUGCUCUGCAAUCUUCUGGGCGAUGCGGACGGGGGUGGGGACGGAGCCUACAGGCUGGUACAGGGCGUGGCCAUAGGGGGCACUGUCCUUGCCAGGGGGCGGCAGGUUGUACUCUGUAGGGAAGUUUUCCAUCACCUCACGCCUCGGCUUGUUCUCAAAAUGCCUCUCAGGGUUGUUCAUUACCAUAUUCUGGGUGAAAUCUGCAAAGAGAAAGAGUUUGAGAGGUAAACUCAUCAGUUCUCUAUACAUUCUGUAUCUUCAAAAGACAAGGUCAAUGGCAAAUCUAUAUCUUCACACGUAUAUUCACUAUACAGUACAAAU
rnacentral:lncRNA from 1 species